CAUUCACGGAGAGUUUGAUCCUGGCUCAGGACGAACGCUGGCGGCGUGCUUAACACAUGCAAGUCGAACGAUGAACCGCUUUCGGGCGGGGAUUAGUGGCGAACGGGUGAGUAACACGUGGGCAAUCUGCCCUGCACUCUGGGACAAGCCCUGGAAACGGGGUCUAAUACCGGAUAUGACUGUCCAUCGCAUGGUGGAUGGUGUAAAGCUCCGGCGGUGCAGGAUGAGCCCGCGGCCUAUCAGCUUGUUGGUGAGGUAGUGGCUCACCAAGGCGACGACGGGUAGCCGGCCUGAGAGGGCGACCGGCCACACUGGGACUGAGAC
rnacentral:rRNA from 1 species